UACGUAGGGGGCAAGCGUUGUCCGGAAUCAUUGGGCGUAAAGCGCGCGUAGGCGGCCCGGUAAGUCCGUUGUGAAAGUCGAAGGCUCAACCUUCGAAUGCCGAUGGAUACUGCCGGGCUAGAGUACGGAAGAGGCGAGUGGAAUUCCUGGUGUAGCGGUGGAAUGCGCAGAUAUCAGGAGGAACACCAAUAGCGAAGGCAGCUCGCUGGGACGUUACUGACGCUGAGGCGCGAAAGCGUGGGGAGCGAACAGG
rnacentral:rRNA from 1 species